AGCCCGCAGCGCGGCGCCGUGCCCCCCUAGCCCCCGCCCGCCCGCUGCCGACCUGCCCCGUCCCUUCUGCUUCCCUUCCCGGCUCCUCUCCCCGUCCCGUCCCGUUCCUUUUCCUCCCGCCCGGCCCGGCCGGCAGCCCCGCUCACCUGGGCGGAUUUCUUGCAGGGUCCGGACUGCAGGAACCUGGCGAUCAGCAGCUCUGAGGUCACCACCUGGAUCACCCCACGUCCCCCACGCCUUCUCCACGUUGAUGAGGCUGCCAAAACCCAGCAGCAUUCCCAUCUCUCAGGCAGCCACUCAUUAAGGUUGGGACCACCAAGACGGACCGCCAGCCCACCAUGCUGUGUCAGUGCCACACCUCCGUGCUCCUUGGCAUAUCCAGAUUACCACCAAGGACACGCUCAGCAGUGAGGACCCAUCUUUUCCUGGAUACAGUUAAAAUGUCUCAAAAUCCACUUGUGAAACUCCUGUGGUAACAAGGCUCAGCCCAUCCGUGCUGCUCACUUGAUGGGGAAACGCAGUGGUCUGUCACACUCACCUAUAAUAAUGGAUUUUUAUCUGUAGUUAUGGGUUUUUCUCACUCUUAAUUGCAGUGAGUGAAGAACUGAGAUAUUUUCCAUAGCACCUUGUGUGCACAUUACCCUAUGAAUUAUAAAUCUUUCUUUUGAGCCUAGCAGCCGUUCCAACAGCAACUCAAGGUACCACUUCAGCCUCUUCUCUUGAGUGCUGGAGGGAUUCCUCUGCUUGCACCGGUGCUGAGCCACCAGGACUUCCCAGCAGCAAUGGGGCAGGAUGGGGCACCCUGCUGUCCCCACAUCCCAGCACCAAACAUGGCCCUGAGCGGGGGCUGCCUUCCCCCAGCUUUUUGGAAGGGAACAAAAAAAAAAAGAAAAAAAGAAUGGUUAAAGCUGCUGCGUGCUGCCCUUUUCCUUUCCACUUUGGAAGCCUUUUUAACGUGCAGUUUUCCAGCAAUUUGAACGAAAAUUGCCCUGAAAGAAUGAAACAAAAAAAAUCUGCCUUAUUUUUUCCAGCAAACCCCCCUGUGCCACACAAGCAGCUGCAGAGAAUUUCUCUUCCAAACAGAUGAUGUAAUGGGCUUUGUCAGCCAACGCUGUAAUGAAUAAAAACCUAGACCCUGAAAUCAUCCGAGCUUUUGAUGAAGCCCAUUAAGGUUUGUGGUGCGGGCAAUCCCCAAAAGGAUGGAGCAGUGGGUUUUGUCAUGCAGAUGGCAGAGGGAGAGCAGUGGCACCGGGGCUGUGCUGUGGGGGCACCGGGCAGCACGGAGGGAACGGGCAGAAAGUAGAGCUUUUGUUUCCCUUAAAAUAAAUGGGCUGAAGGAAGAUGCUGAUGGGAGAUGUUGAGAGGGGGCAUGGCUUUGCAGGGCAGGAGCACAGCUUCUGCCCCUACUGCUGCCUGCUGAUGCCAGAGUCCAAGGAAUUAAUUUUUCUUAAAAAAAAACCCUCAAGUUAUGAGAAGUGAACCAUAUAAAAGGUGUUAGGUUUCAAUCAGGAAAGGCAGCAGAGUCGCGCUGGCAUGCUUGGAGCAGAAAUAGAUGGGGAUGGAGCCCUCCCUCUGGUCAGCCUGCAGAGGGACCUCCACUGACUGCCAUGGGCCUCACCUUCCAUAUUUGCUUGGAUUUCUGCUGUUUCUUUCCCUUUGGGCUCAUGCAUUUCAGCAAGAUGCACAAAGUGAAGCAGGGCACCUACUUGCUCCCCUCACAACAGCAUUGGCACUGCCACUGUCCCUGUCCCUUGGGCAGAAGGACACCUGCAUGCGAGUUCUGCUCCAUCCUUCUGGGCUCCCGUGCUGCCCAAAAUGCAACCCAGGGUCACUGAUGGUGAGGAGAGACGAGCCCCAAGGCUCCGUGCUGGAGGCUGGAGCCAGGCUGAGCAGUGCUGGAACAUGGCUGGGAUGCGUCCCUUAACUCUGUGGAGCAGCCACCGCGGUGUCGUGGCACCAAAUGCACAGCAGGACCGGGCAGCAGGGACCUGGGGACAACUCAGGGCCCCCAGCACUCCGUGCCCCCGGAUUUGGGGAUCCAUUUGGGCAAUGAGCUCCUCAGCUUAAUUACGCGCUGCGGGAAAUGUGGCCGAUCUGCAUCUGCCACUCGGUAAUUCCGUGGGGCACCGCUUUGUCUGCUUUGUCUUCCAACACAAGAGCCACCGACCCCUAUUCACUUCCCGUGCCACCGCAUCACUCUCUCCACCUCCCUCCUCCUUGUUCCCCUCUCUGUAAAUUCUUUGCAAGACAAAAAGGGCAAUUUAUUUAAUUGUUGCUGAUACAAUGUGCUAAAACUCUCAACAGUUAAUUACACUUGUUAAUUAUUUUAAUUACUCCCAGGGUAACGGUCCAGGUAUAGAAGAGGACCCCACCGGGCUGCAUGGGCACAGAGCAGAGCAGUCUGUUAUCUCUUAUCCUGAGAUGCUGCAUCUCUGUAGCGCACAGCACAACCGCCCUCUGACAACAUGGGUGGUGAAAUAGGAGCAGGGAACGCUUGGCCUAGAUUUGCAAAUUUCUGUUUGCAGCGUAGAAAGAUUUAUAGGAGGAGGCCUGAGGGGAAGGCAGCUCUCGCAGGGCUUCCCUCAGACUGUGAGUCCAGCCCUCCUCGGUGCUCCUGGUGCAAAACGGAGCAGGGUCCUGACCUGCAAAGGACAAGCGAUCAGCUCCAGCACACAUCAACCCUGGCUGGAAGCUGUGGCUGUGUCCCAGCUGGAGCGCACCCACCUCCACUGCAGCAGCACGUGGAUCCAAGCAGCUCCCUUGUGGUUGUGGAGCUGCAUCCAGUGGGAUCCCCGCAGUGAGGGUGAAGGCAGAGAGCUGCUGCCAUCAGAGCCUUCCCUCCCUGCUGCUGCUUUCAUCUUCCCGAGGGAAAAGCAAACAGAGGGGAACCAGAAAUCUUUGUGGCUACGAAGUCUCACAUCUGGUUUUAGCUCCAAGAAACGUACUCCCACUCCCUCCUUGAACUGUUAAUGUUAAACUAAUAAAACCCCGGUGAUUUUUCUGGAUUUCAGUGCUUGGAUCGCAUACAAGCAGCUUUCACAGUGAAUUCCAGGAUUGCUCUCACCUCCAUCCCUAAGGAAAGCAAUGCACCCCUCUUGGCAGGGAAGAAGAUGCUGCCAAAUGGCAGAACUCCAUGGCUCCUGCACUGCAGGACGAGCAGCAGCCCAGGGCUGCGGGGUGGGCAGUGCCUGGCCGUGUGCAGGGCGCACUCUGCUCCCCCCAGCUCCGAGUCCUCACCCUGGCAGCGACCCCUGGAGCAGCACAGUCCUUGAGUCCAGUGAGACAAACCUGGUUUAAAUCUGGCCCUCCCAUUCUAUUUGUAGGCUUCAAUACCGCAUUUUUAUCUGCACUGUUCCCCCCCUCCCCCUCCCCGUGCCCUUUUUUUAAGAACGUCUGGAAAUGUUUAAGAUGUGUCCAACUAUAUUAAAAUGCCUUUGAGAGCUUUGCGAUGUCAAUUUGAUUUCCGCUCUUUUAGAGGCAGCGCUUUCCAAUUUGUGAUGUUGUUCAUUUCAUAUCACAUAAGCACCUACUUCAUUUCACUUCUUCCAGGUGUCACCUCUCGGUGACAAUCUUGGGCUCACUGUAACACACGGGGCCAACACUUGAGUGUUCCCAUGUGACACGUUGUGAGCAUCUCCCUCCCGAGCCAGGCAGUGCUUUGUUUCCCAGGACCCUCUGCUGUUUGCAUGGACAGCAAUGACUUCUGAUCCCUUCCUCCAUGCUCUGUAGUGACCGCCUCCCCUCUCCGGGCUCUGGGACGCUCUCUGGCCAGCAGCCACGCUGACAUUGUACUCUCAGAAGGAGAGAGGCUCCUCGAAAGCCGCGGACGCAGCCCGAGGGGUGUUCUUGGCUCACUGGAAGCCAUCCAGCAGGAUCAGGUUUCAGAGCAGAGCUCCUGCGCCAGCUGCAUGGAGGAGGAACAUCACCAUUGGGACAACUGGAAAGAAAAGCCAUCCGUUUCUAUUCAGGGGAUCCAAUUUUCUUUCUGCUUCAUCAGAUUAACACCAGUGUAACUCCAUUAACUACCAGGGAGUUGCUCUUGAUCUGAAAAUCAGACACAUCAGAUUUUCUGGCUUUUGCAUGCGGUUACUUCACUCAAAGGAGCAAAGAUGGACAUAGGAUGUAUCUACAAAAGCCUUUCUUGUAUGUGGUCUGGGGGUAGUUGUUAUUCUCCCCUCCUCAUUUAAAAGAAGAGAUUUCACUCCCUGCUCCUGUUUUUUUCCAAGCAGAAGGAUUUCCACGUUCUGUUUGUGCCUCUUUCCUCGUGUUCCUCCCUCUGUGCUGCCCCAACACACCGCUCACGAUGGACCCAAGGGAGAAGUUCCAAGGUGCCUCCUCUUCCUUCAAACCCUACUUUCCAGGUGCCCAGCAGUUUCUCUAAGCCUUUCAUUGCUCUCACAGAGCACUUUCCCACGUUCUGCUGCGGCUCCUGUAGAACAAGCAUUACAUUGAGGAAUGCGAGGUCUCAGCCCUUUAUCCUACAUUUGAUACACAUGCUGAAGUAAGCUCAGCCCCACGCUGCAUUAGGAGACUGCAUCCUAAAUUUCAUCACAGGGCAUUUGUGCACCGAGUGAAGAGCCUUGCUUUGUCCAAUGAUUGCUACUAAACGAAACCAUUAUGGAGAACCUCCCUAGCAGUAGGAUGGGUCCAAAGCGUGCACACAAUCCCUCCAGUUGGUCCACAAUGGGUUCGUUGUUCCCUGCCAUCUUGCUGGGUGGAAGCACGCUGUGUUUCUGUGCUGACGGUGCAAUGUGACCCAGCACUGCUUCACUGCACCCAGAGCACUGCACUGUGUUCCAGCAGCCCUGGCCCUGGCCAAACACCCAACUCUGCAAUUCCUUGUAGAGCUCCUGCUUACUGGUGCCUGCGGUCCGCUCGUUAAACUGGGUGUAACAUUCAUCAAACUACCUCCACGUACAGAGUCUGGAACUCAUGAUGAGCAGCAGCAUCGCCACCGUUCACCAGGUCUCAGUGCAAAAUGCAAGCCGACAGUUCUACAUGUGCCUUGCUCAAAACAUGCAUCUUACCUCACAUGAAGUCUCCUCCCUUUGCUGAGAGCAUCACUGUGCCACUACAGAACCAUUGCUGUCUUAAGACUCAGGAAGCUGUUUGCCACAUCACACCUUGUCGAGUCUGGAGUUGUUAUCUUCAGUAAUGAUAAUCAAACGCCCAAAUGGAUUUUGCCUGUGUAGCCAUUCUAAGAACCUUUCCUAGUCAGAACUAGAAUAGGAAACACGUUUCUUACGCCCGAGAGCUCUGGCAGUGGAGAGCCAAGGAGCUUGGUGAAGGGUUUCUCCAUGCCUUCCAGCUGAGCCUGGAAUCAGGAACACCCAAACUGACUGCUUGUGAAAGGUUUCAGUUUCCCACUGAAACCUCCACUUUUUGGUCAGCCAUAAACUGGAGUUGCCUUUGCUGCAGUGUCAAGAUGUCAAGAGCACCAGAUGAGGAGGGCUUGGCAGAAGGCAGAAAUCUAUUUCAUUGUGCAACUCACUCAAAUAUCCCAUUGCUCUGAAAAGCUGUGAACUUGAGCAACGAGGUUUGUAUGAAAAGUUCUUAAGCAAUUUUCUGAGUUUAUUUGUAACAGGAAUCUGGUUGUAACAAUAGUUAUAGAAUUAAGAAAACUCUCGCCCUGGCACUGAAAGGGGAACUAAACAAAACCAAACUCUCAAUUGUAUGUCUCUGUGUAACAGCUUCUGAAUUAGAAUGGAGAAAUGUGACCUAACAUACAGAAUGACCUCAAUUAGUGGGUGAUGGGCUGAUUACACUUUGGCACAUGGAUGAGCCUUUUGCUAGGAAGAAAAUACCAACCAUACUCAUACUGUUGGCUACUAUUUAAAUAACCAUGCCCGAAACACUAUGGGAGAAUGAAACUGGGAAGAGAGGGGUGUCACUGAGAUUUGCACAAAGAGCUCACCUUCCUAUUUACACCAGAUGUGCUGUGUUACGCCCCUGCACAGCAACCACUGGAAGCUGGGAGGAGACACUGCAGCUAUAAUAUGCUUUAUUCCAAAAUGCAUUUUAUCCUUAAAGCUGUGCAGGCCCACUGCUAUUUCUCACCAACUUCAAGCAGCAUUUGGUCAGACCCUAAAAACUAUUGCAUCUUGUCUCUGAAACAAACUGCCGUGCUUAUUAGCAAUCCUUCAUUGCCCAAAAGCAAGCUAAAUUCAGUAAUUUUCAUGGGUAAAAGUGUGGGGAUGACAUUUGAAUUGUCACUGGAUCCCUUCAACCUAAAAUACGCAGAAUCUCCUGGUAUCACUAAAUCACCAUGAGAUUUCACACAGCGACAGAUGCAGCCUAUAGAAAAUCCUAGGAGGGAAAAAUACCCCCUGAACUUGUGUAACAGCCCUGCGAGGAAGUUGUAGCUCACAUGUGCUGGCUGCUUUAACAGAGCACAUCUAUGGAAUGAAAGGUGUCACAGCAGAAAUAAAAAUCAUCUGUGCUUUAGGCCUUGGAGGUUAAAAUCACCACUAAACAUCAUUGAGUAGCCAGCACCCCGGGGUGCUGCUCAGGGAACAGCCAUUUCAUACAGGGCACUGCACUGAGACACCGAGUUGGGCUGUGGAUAGGAGAUGAACUGUGCAGCCUCCUGGAAUUUCACAUUUCUGAGCUGCAAAACAAUCUUACACACACAAAAAACAUACUUUCUGCAUUGCAGACAUUUUUCUUCCUAUCAAAUACAUGAUAAAUUUGGUCAUCAAUGUGAAGAGACCAUAAAGAAGGUGGCUUAGAGAGGAAAAUGUGAAGUGUCCUUGAAAAAAAUUGUAUAGCAUAGCUGUAGCAACAGAAAUAAGACUAGGUAAAACACAUUAAACCCCUAUGUAUACUGCCUAGUCUAGCAGUAAUUCCCAGAACAGGCUUGCAUUCAUGGAAACCAUUUUCUGUAUAUACACACAUGAUCAUGCUAAGCAGGAAAGGGGAAGCUAAGCAGGAAAACGCUCCGUAAGUAGGAUAUAUUAGAAGAAGCUAUAAGUAAAAGGUAGGUAAGCACGCACUUUAUCUGGUACUAUGGCCAUUCCAGCAUAACAGAAAACCAUUUUACACUACCAGACGUUUGCUAUCUCCAAGCUCACCUGCUAUUUCUAAGGAAGACCCCUCUUCUAAACCGUUAUCAAUUACCAGGCACUGAAACAUAAAGGAGACAACACCCACCAGAGCUCCUAACACCAGCAGCCCUCAAGGCACGCUGGGCAACACCAAUAUCUCAGCUUCUCUCGAGGAAGCGAGGCUGAGAACGCGAGCUUCCAUGUGGGGAUGCUGGGCGGCGCCUUUCCUCUGGACCAUCUGUUCCCAUCCUGACUGCAUGGGGUCGGUUUUGUUGACACAACGGCGGGAGCCAGGGGCCCAAGCAGCGGCCGUGCUGUGGAUGCCAGGGCCCAGCUGCACAGGUCCGCCAGCACAGCUCCAGCAGCGCGUGUGCAGCACAAGCAACGAACCACAGUCAGUUUUUGAGGAGUCUUUUUUAUUAAGAUAAAUCCAGCAAAAUUCCUAACAGUGGGUACAUACAACCGACCUGCCCUUUCAAAAGAAACGCUUGUAUUUCAUUUAAAAACAUGAUUACACUUUUUUUUCAUUAUUUAUUUAUUUUUCAAAACCGACAAAAUAAAAUUACAUUUGGGAAAACAACAGAUUUCCAGCUCUUAGGUAUUUUUUUUUUUUUUU